UGGUUAGAGCGCACCCCUGAUAAGGGUGAGGUCGGUAGUUCGAGUCUACCCAGACCCA
rfam:Spinacia oleracea cultivar SynViroflay scaffold46518.1, whole genome shotgun sequence.